GAUCCUGGCUCAGGAUGAACGCUAGCUACAGGCUUAACACAUGCAAGUCGAGGGGCAGCAUGGUCUUAGCUUGCUAAGGCCGAUGGCGACCGGCGCACGGGUGAGUAACGCGUAUCAACCUGCCUUACACUCUUGGACAGCCUUCUGAAAGGGAGAUUAAUACAAGAUGUUAUCAUGAGUAAGCAUUUUCGCAUGAUUAAAGGUUUACCGGUAGUAAGAGUGGGGAUGCGUUCCA
rnacentral:rRNA from 1 species